AAGGCCGAUUUGUACAUCUUUUCCCAAUUUUUUUUUUUUAUAGCUUCAAGAAAUAAACUUUAUCGAUUCCUCUUGAUUUUGUCGGUUAAGAACAAAUCACAAUGCUAAAUGUUUAUCUGUUUGUGGAAAACGAAAUUACCUUGCACAGAGUUUCAAUCAAAUCAAUGGAAGGUUGUAUCUUUUCCUUCAAUCAUAAUCGAUAAGAUCGGGAAUAUACAUUCAAAUCGUACAUAGCUUUGUUAGAGUAUGUAAAUCGGCCGUGAGACAAUGUCAAUAUCACUUUGCAAGAAAGGAUAAUCGAAAGCAAAAUGGAAAAAAAAGGAUUUCAUUUCCUGCAUAUCUACGAUGAGAAGGGUAAUCUUGAAAACUAAUUUCUUAUGUUUCACUUUAAUCUUUUAACAUUUUAUCUGUUCUGAUUGCCAAUAAUCGUGAAAACCAAUUGGUACUGAGUAUAUGUGAUCAUAAUCGAGAUUGUGUAUUGGUAAUA